UCUUGCAUAUUUCUCUCUCCACUAACAAACCAUAUGUGUGAAUUAUGAGUUAAUAUUUCUCAUCAUCUCCUUCUUAUCUUCCAUCUUCUUCAUCUGAUGUCCCAUCAAUCUUCCAUUAUACUUCUUUCCAUGAAGUUUAUUAUUUGUGAUUAAUUAGUUGCCAGACUAUUCAAUUUGUUAAUAUCAUUUAACAAUUUGUCGUCGCAUCCGUAUGUUUACUUCGUCGGUAAUUUUUUCUCCGGAUCCAAUAUAAUUAUUUAAAUACACUAGACCGCUCUGUAAAACUCAAACCAUUUGCUGGUCGUAGCUUCCCUACAUGGGACAAUGCUAUUGAGUUUUAUGAGAACUAUUAAGAACAAGCCUUUGCGUCAAUGCAAGAAAUGCCAGGAGUGGGGUCAUCAUGAUUCAAGGAAUUGCGUCAAAUUCAAAGAGAAAUAACAGCUCUGGUCUAGAAGAAAUUCUGAUGUUUGAUACUAUGUACUCUCUUUUUGAACUAACGUCAGUUUAAUUGUCAUUUUGGACGCCAUUUUACUUGCAUUGUCAGGUUGUUUGAUGUUAACAUUUACUUCAACAGCAGUUUUAUAUGAACAUUUCGAUCAAAUUUGUAUGACACGAAAAUUGGAUUAUUA